CGUAGGGGUGCGAGCGUUGUCCGGAUUUAUUGGGGCGUAAAGGGCUCGUAGGUGGUUGAUCGCGUCGGAAGUGUAAUCUUGGGGGCUUAACCCUGAGCGUGCUUUCGUAUACGGGUUGGACUUGAGGGAAGGUAGGGGAGAAUGGAAUUCCUGGUGGAGCGGUGGAAUGCGCAGAUAUCAGGAGGAACACCAGUGGCGAAGGCGGUUCUCUGGGCCUUUCCUGACGCUGAGGAGCGAAAGCGUGGGGAGCGAACAGGCUU
rnacentral:rRNA from 1 species